rnacentral:rRNA from 1 species
AUUGAACGCUGGCGGCAGGCCUAACACAUGCAAGUCGAACGAGUGGCGGACGGGUGAGUAAUGUCUGGGAAACUGCCUGAUGGAUGGGGAUAACUACUGGAACCGGUAGCUAAUACCGCAUACCAUCGGAUGUGCCUAUAUGGGAUUAGCUAGUAGGGUGGGUAAAGGCGCACCUAGGCGACGAUCCCUAGCUGGUCUGAGAGGAGGACCAGCAACACUGGAACUGAGACACGGUCCACGCGCCUACGGCAGGCAGCAGUGGGGAAUAUUGCACAAUGGGCGCAAGCCUGAUGCAGCCAUGCCGCGUGUAUGAAGAAGGCCUUCGGGUUUUAAAUUACUUUCAGCGGGGAGGCGUUACCCGCAGAAGAAGCGCCGGCUAACUCCGUGCCAGCAGCCGCGGUAAUUC